UCUCUGUUAGUAUAUCGGUUAGUACACGCGCCUGUCAUUGUCGGUGCGCGCGAAAGCGGGGUUCGACUCCCCGACAGAGAG